UACGAGGGGGGGCGAGCGUUGUUCGGGAAUUAUUGGGCGUAAAGGGUGCGUAGGCGGUUCCGCAAGUCCUGUGUGAAAUCUUCGGGCUCAACUCGAAGUCUGCACGGGAAACUCGGGGGCUGAGUGUGGGGAGAGGUGAGUGGAAUUCCCCGGUGUAGCGGUGAAAUGCUAGAUAUCGGGGAGGAACACCUGUGGCGAAAGCGGCUCA
rnacentral:rRNA from 1 species